rnacentral:rRNA from 1 species
GUGCCGGCGAGUGGCGAACGGGUGAGUAAUGCAUCGGAACGUGCCCAGAGGUGGGGGAUAACGCAGCGAAAGCUGUGCUAAUACCGCAUACGAUCUGAGGAUGAAAGCGGGGGACCUUCGGGCCUCGCGCGGUCGGAGCGGCCGAUGUCGGAUUAGCUAGUUGGUGGGGUAAAGGCCUACCAAGGCGACGAUCCGUAGCUGGUCUGAGAGGACGGCCAGCCACACUGGGACUGAGACACGGCCCAGACUCC